rnacentral:rRNA from 1 species
UCUAAGUUUGUAUGGCGACCGGCGCACGGGUGAGUAACACGUACCCAACCCUGCCGAUGACUCGGGGGAGUAGCCUUUCGAAAGAAAGAUUAAUACCCGAUGGCAUAGUUCUUCCGCAUGGUGGAACUAUUAAAGAAUUUCGGUCAUCGAUGGGGAUGCGUUCCAUUAGGUUGUUGGCGGGGUAACGGCCCACCAAGCCUUCGAUGGAUAGGGGUUCUGAGAGGAAGGUCCCCCACAUUGGAACUGAGACACGGUCCAAACUCCUACGGGAGGCAGCAUG